rnacentral:rRNA from 1 species
UACGGAGGAUGCGAGCGUUAUCCGGAUUUAUUGGGUUUAAAGGGUGCGUAGGCGGGAUGCCAAGUCAGCGGUAAAAAUGCGGUGCUCAACGCCGUCGAGCCGUUGAAACUGGCGUUCUUGAGUGGGCGAGAAGUAUGCGGAAUGCGUGGUGUAGCGGUGAAAUGCAUAGAUAUCACGAAGAACUCCGAUUGCGAAGGCAGCUUACCAGUCUGCGACUGACGCUCAGGCACGAAAGUGUGGGUAUCGAACAGG